rnacentral:rRNA from 1 species
GACGUAGGGCGCGAGCGUUGUCCGGAUUUAUUGGGCGUAAAGAGCUCGUAGGCGGCUCAUUGCGUCAACCGUGAAAACCAGCAGCUCAACUGUUGGCUUGCGGUUGAUACGGGUGGGCUGGAGUUCGGUAGGGGAGACUGGAAUUCCUGGUGUAGCGGUGAAAUGCGCAGAUAUCAGGAGGAACACCGGUGGCGAAGGCGGGUCUCUGGGCCGAUGACUGACGCUGAGGAGCGAAAGCGUGGGGAGCGAACAGG